CCUACGGGCGGCUGCAGUGAGGAAUAUUGGUCAAUGGCCGGAAGGCUGAACCAGCCAUGCCGCGUGAAGGUCAGUGCCCUAUGGGCGUUAAACUUCUUUUGUGCGGGAGCAAUAAUGGUCACGUGUGGCCAGACGAGAGUACCGUACGAAUAAGCAUCGGCUAACUACGUGCAAGCAGCCGCGGUAAUACGGGGGAUGCAAGCGUUAUCCGGAUUUAUUGGGUUUAAAGGGUGCGUAAGCUGUGAGGGAAGUCAGCGGUGAAAUGCCCCCGUUCAACGGGGUGAAGUGCCAUUGAUACUGCCUUGCUGGAGUGCGGAUGCCGUAGGAGGAAUGUGUGGUGUAGCGGUGAAAUGCAUAGAGAUCACACAGAACACCGAUUGCGAAGGCAUCUCACGAAUCCGCGAUUGACGCUGAUGCACGAAAGCGUGGGUAUCAAACAGGAUUAGAUACCCGGGUAGUC
rnacentral:rRNA from 1 species